AUAUUUUUCCCGUCCUUGGUAUAGAUAAUGCUUUUCACAGGAUGAGGAUUGCCCCUUGCACUCUGGGUGUGCUGACCCCUGUGAUUUUUUUCCCCAAACGUGGGAAACUCGACUGUGUAACUUGUGGUAGUGGGGGGACUGCUUUCGCGCUUUCCCUUG
rnacentral:snRNA from 1 species